GGGGGGUCACGUACGUCGUGGGUAUUCGUGGUAACGGGUUACCCGUUGCCGUGCGCACUUGCAAGUCACCUGCAGUCUAACCGUCUCUCUACUAGUGGAUCUCGGCUCCCUCUGUCCCGGCCUCGCCGUCCUCCAUGGCGUCGCUACUUAGAUCGGCCGGGGUGGGCGGACCGGGCGGUAAUAUCCUGCGCAUCCGGUGCCGCUCCCCGCCGUCUCUCCGUCCUACUCUUCCUCCUCCCGUUCGGAUCGGAAGCCCUAGGAAGCGCGUCCUUUUCUUCCGCCUCAUCCUCUGAUUACUCCUCGGACGGAGACCUCGGUUCUUGCUCUGGUGAUGAGGAGGCCUUUGAUGCACCUAAAGCGCUUCAUAAAAUGAAUAAAGUAAAUUCAUGAUUAUGUAUAUCCCAUCCAAAGUUGAUUUUUGUAGCUUUUAUUGUCUUUUGUUUUGUAUCCAUGGUUUUGGUGUUGGUUUGUUAUUAUGUUUGUUUUUUAUGUGCUUUAUUUGCUUUGUCACAUUUUGUGUCCAUGACAUUGUAUAAGUCAUUAUUUUCUGUUGUUUUAUGUGCGUGGAUUUCUGUAAGAAAUGAAAUUAGCAAAAUCUUUGAUUUGUCAUUUUCAUCACUCAACUAUAUUAUGGAUGGGUUUGCUUUUAAAUUAUUAGUGGUGUUAUAUUGUAAUAGGCUUCUAAUGUUAUUUUUUAUGAUAUCAACUGAGAUACAUAUGAAGCUAGAGUUUUUGGAUGAUUUCUUUUUAAUCCAGGAAUCUCUUGUUAAAUUAAGCUGCAAGAUUUGAAAAGGAAUUCUCUUCCUAUAUGAUCAGGAAGGAAAGAAACCAGGGUUACUGGGUGACUGCAUCGAGGAAUUGAAAGCCAUAGUUCAACUAAGUGAAUCCAAACUCACUAUUGAGAGAAGUUGCUAAUGCAGGAGACUUUCUCGAGGUUUUCAAUAGGAAAUUUUUUCUAGAAAAAGCCAGGACAAUAGUAGGAGAGUGCACUUGAAGUCAAGGGAUAAUGUUCAAGACAGCCCUAAGUUUGAAAAGGUUCUUUCACCAAGAAGAUUAGCUGGAGCUGAGACUUCAAAGGUCUCAUUAACAGCCUAUGAGAGAGAUAAAGUUGUUUUAGGAACAAACCACAAUUCAAGCAGAAGCUGAUUGAGCCUCUUCCUAGUGCUAUGUACCACAGGAGGAAAGCUAAGGUAAGAAGAUGAAGGGGACGAGGGCCAAAAUGACAGGCUAUUGGGAGCUUCAUCACUAUAGUUGUUUUCUCUCGGGGGAUCAGAUCAAACUAAAAUGUUAGCUCCCUGUAUGCAUGCCUGAUGGAAUAAUAUGUGCAAGUUCUGGCCAAGAAAAAUUCAACCUCAAGACCAAGGAAGAGAAGAGGUUGCUUUUGAAGCCUGAUCAAUAAAUAAUGUGAGGUUCAAUGUCAAAUUCUCUCAUUCCUCCA